AGAGUUUGAUCCUGGCUCAGGAUGAACGCUGGCGGCAGGCUUAAUACAUGCAAGUUGAACGGUAACAUGUUGUAGCAAUACAAUGAUGACGAGUGGCGUACGGGUGCGUAACACGUGUGCAACCUACCUUAUACCGGAACAAAACGUCGAGAAAUUGGCGCUAAUAUUCCAUAACAUUGCUUUAAGACAUCUUUUUGCAAUUAAAAUCACGGUGGUAUAAGAUGGGCACGCGUUCCAUUAACUAGUUGGUAAGGUAACGGCUUACCAAGGCUACGAUGGAUAGGGGUUCUGAGAGGACAAUCCCCCAUACUGGAACUGAGACACGGUCCAGACUCCUACGGGAGGCAGCAGUAAGGAAUAUUGGGCAAUGGAGGCAACUCUGACCCAGCCAUGCCGCGUGCAGGAAGACGGCCCUACGGGUUGUAAACUGCUUUUAAUAGGGAGUAAUGUUAGUUACGUGUAACUAAUGCAAGUACCUAUAGAAUA
rnacentral:rRNA from 1 species